UAAAACUUAACGACACACACAUUCCGACACAAUGUUCUGGGUGCCUGUAAAGCGAGCAAUAGGUUGCUGUACGGGUUGAUCAUUGGGGGAUGUGGAGGCUUAAC
rnacentral:sRNA from 1 species